rnacentral:rRNA from 1 species
CGGGUGAGUAACGCGUGAGGAACCUGCCUCAAAGAGGGGGACAACAGUUGGAAACGACUGCUAAUACCGCAUAAGCCCACGGCUCGGCAUCGAGCAGAGGGAAAGGAGUGAUCCGCUUUGAGAUGGCCUCGCGUCCGAUUAGCUGGUUGGUGAGGUAACGGCCCACCAAGGCGACGAUCGGUAGCCGGACUGAGAGGUUGAACGGCCACAUUGGGACUGAGACACGGCCCAG